AUUGAACGCUGGCGGCAGGCUUAACACAUGCAAGUCGAGCGGGGAAAGGUAGCUUGCUACCUGACCUAGCGGCGGACGGGUGAGUAAUGCUUAGGAAUCUGCCUAUUAGUGGGGGACAACAUCUCGAAAGGGAUGCUAAUACCGCAUACGUCCUACGGGAGAAAGCAGGGGACCUUCGGGCCUUGCGCUAAUAGAUGAGCCUAAGUCGGAUUAGCUAGUUGGUGGGGUAAAGGCCUACCAAGGCGACGAUCUGUAGCGGGUCUGAGAGGAUGAUCCGCCACACUGGGACGGAGACACGGCCCAGACUCCUACGGGAGGCAGCAGUGGGGAAUAUUGGACAAUGGGGGGAACCCUGAUCCAGCCAUGCCGCGUGUGUGAAGAAGGCCUUUUGGUUGUAAAGCACUUUAAGCGAGGAGGAGGCUACCGAGAUUAAUACUCUUGGAUAGUGGACGUUACUCGCAGAAUAAGCACCGGCUAACUCUGUG
rnacentral:rRNA from 1 species